AACUGUCUUGGAACAAAGAGCAUACAUCACAUAUGACCGGAAUAUCUCUUUUAUUACUGUCACAAGAUGCUUAGCUUGACCAGCACGUCAGUAAUUAAUCCU